rnacentral:lncRNA from 1 species
GGGUUGCAGGCCUGGGCGCCGGGGUUGGACCAGUCUCCCGGGCAUGGCACGCCCUGGUUUGGUGUGUACCCAUGGUUUGUGGCGGGGCAAGACGUUAAGUUGGGUGACACCGAGGUGAGCCACGGUCCUUGGCACCAGAUGAGGAACCACUGUCUCAAUAAGGUCUCAGUGCUGUGUGUGUAAUGGUUACCGUGAGAGCUUCCCUGCAAUCCGAAUUUGUGUGUCUCAUUCUCAGUGACACCAGUGAUGCUGUUAAACAAGGACAGUCCGGUUCAUGGAUUGUGACAACGCACGCUGACAUCAAGCAGACCCUGCCGUCAGAUCCUCCUGUCUCAGUUUGCAGUUG